UGGGGAAUAUUGCACAAUGGGCGCAAGCCUGAUGCAGCCAUGCCGCGUGUAUGAAGAAGGCCUUCGGGUUGUAAAGUACUUUCAGUCGGGAGGAAGGUGGUAAGGUUAAUAACCUUAUCAAUUGACGUUACCGACAGAAGAAGCACCGGCUAACUCCGUGCCAGCAGCCGCGGUAAUACGGAGGGUGCAAGCGUUAAUCGGAAUUACUGGGCGUAAAGCGCACGCAGGCGGUCUGUCAAGUCGGAUGUGAAAUCCCCGGGCUCAACCUGGGAACUGCAUUAGAAACUGGCAGGAUAGAGGCUUGUAGAGGGGGGUAGAAUUCCAGGUGUAGCGGUGGAAUGCGUAGAGAUCUGGAGGAAUACCGGUGGCGGAGGCGGCCCCCUGGACAAAGACUGACGCUCAGGUGCGAAAGCGUGGGGAGCAAACAGG
rnacentral:rRNA from 1 species